UACGGCCGCAUCACGUUGAAACACCUGUUCCCGUACAAUCACCGAAGUUAAGCCUGGUCAGUACCGAAAUGGGUGACCGCUUGGGAAUACCAGGUGCUGUAAG